CAACUUUCAACAAUGGAUCUCUUGGCUCUGGCAUCGAUGAAGAACGCAGCGAAAUGCGAUAGUUAAUGUGAAUUGCAGAUUUCAGUGAAUCAUCGAGUUUUUGAACGCACAUUGCGCCCCUUGGUAUUCCUAGGGGCAUGCCUAUUCGAGCGUCGUUU
rnacentral:rRNA from 1 species